AAGGAUUUAAGUUAAAUAAAACUAAAAGCCUUCAAAGCUUUAAAUAAAGAUAAACCUUUAAGCCUUA
rnacentral:tRNA from 1 species